rnacentral:rRNA from 1 species
AAGGAUGAUUNUGCCGUUGUCUGCCUAUGUGCCUUGACCAAAUUACGUGCCAGCAGUCGCGGUAAUACGUAGAAGACUAGUGUUAUUCAUGUUUAAUCGGUUUAAAGGGUACCUAGACGGUGAAUCAAGCUUUAGAAUAAAGAAAAAAAAGUUCUUUACAGAUGAAAAGGACUAAUUCACUAGAGUUACUUACGAGGGGGCAUUAAAGUACUGCUGGUGUAGAGAUGAAAUUCUGUAAUACCUGUCUGAACAGACAUAUGGCACAGGUAUAGGCGAAGGCAUCCCCUUAUGGGAUAACUGACGUUGAGGGACGAAGGCUUUGUAUAACAAACAGGAUUAGAUACCCUAGUAGUUAAAGCAGAAAAUGAUGAAUGUCAUAGAUUAGAUGUAUAAGUUUAUUCUAUAAAUGAAAGUGUAAGCAUUCCACCUCAUGAGUAAUUUGGCAACAUUGGAAUUGAAAUCAUUAGACCGUUUCUGAAACCAGUAGUGAAGUAUGUUGUUUAAUUUGAUAACCCGCAAAAAACCUUACCACAACUUGAAUAUUUAUAUAAUUGUUAUUACUUAGAAUUUAUUGAAUGUACUUCAUGCAAAACUAAACUAACAAGGAGGCAAUAUAUUUACAAGUGUUGCACGGCUGUCUUCAGUUAAUGUCGUGAGACUUUGGUUAGUUCCAUUAAAUUAACGUAAACCCUUACUUUAUUUGUUAUAUAAAGUAGUUCCCNNUAUAUCGGAUAUGAUAACAGGGACUAAGACAAGUCAUCAUGGCCUAAUGUUGUGGGCUAUAGA